UCCUAGCCCCGAUAGAAGUGGAGAUCCUUUUUUGUUUUUUCUUUAAAAACAAAAAAGAUCACAACGGAUAGCGGGAUUAGCU
rfam:Flavobacterium spartansii strain MST NODE_2_length_781930_cov_46.9408, whole genome shotgun sequence.